CAAUAGCGUAUAUUAAAGUUGUUGCAGUUAAAAAGCUCGUAGUUGGAUUUCUGGUGGGAGCGAUCGGUCUGGCGCUUAGCGCGAGUACUUGCAUCGUCUCCGGCCAUCCUUGGGGAGAGUCUGUCUGGCAUUAGGUUGUCGGGCAGAGGAUCCUCAUCGUUUACUGUGAAAAAAUUAGAGUGUUCAAAGCAGGCUUAUGCCGUUGAAUAUAUUAGCAUGGAAUAAUAAGAUAGGACUUUGGUACUAUUUUGUUGGUUUGCGCACCAACGUAAUGAUUAAUAGGGACAGUUGGGGGUAUUCGUAUUCCGUUGUCAGAGGUGAAAUUCUUGGAUUUACGGAAGACGAACUACUGCGAAAGCAUUUACCAAGGAUGUUUUCAUUAA
rnacentral:rRNA from 1 species